UGGCGGCAGGCCUAACACAUGCAAGUCGAACGCCCCUUCGGGGGAGUGGCAGACGGGUGAGUAACACGUGGGAACCUACCCAGGAGUACGGAAUAACUCAGGGAAACUUGAGCUAAUACCGUAUACGUCCUUCGGGAGAAAGUUUUAACGCUCUUGGAUGGGCCCGCGUCGCAUUAGCUAGUUGGUGGGGUAAUGGCCUACCAAGGCUUCGAUGCGUAGCUGGUCUGAGAGGAUGAUCAGCCACACUGGGACUGAGACACGGCCCAGACUCCUACGGGAGGCAGCAGUGGGGAAUCUUGGACAAUGGGCGCAAGCCUGAUCCAGCCAUGCCGCGUGAGUGAUGAAGGCCCUAGGGUUGUAAAGCUCUUUCACCGGUGAAGAUAAUGACGGUAGCCGGAGAAGAAGCCCCGGCUAACUCCGUGCCAGCAGCCGCGGUAAUACGGAGGGGGCUAGCGUUGUUCGGAAUUACUGGGCGUAAAGCGCACGUAGGCGGGUAUCCAAGUUGGGGGUGAAAUCCCGGGGCUCAACCCCGGAACUGCCUCCAAAACUGGGUACCUAGAGUCCGAGAGAGGUGAGUGGAAUUCCCAGUGUAGAGGUGAAAUUCGUAGAUAUUGGGAAGAACACCAGUGGCGAAGGCGGCUCACUGGCUCGGUACUGACGCUGAGGUGCGAC
rnacentral:rRNA from 1 species